rnacentral:lncRNA from 1 species
AAAAAUAGAUAGCAUAAAAGAUUAGUGGGUAUUACAUUUAGAUUAGUUACAUUUGGGCAAAUAAAUGAGUAGAAGUCAAUUUUGUUUGCUUGAUGUUUCACUUCUUUGAUCUCUUCAUCAUUCUCAUUUUGUUUCAUUGCUUACCAUUUGUUCGAAAAAAUUUCUAGCAGUGGCAAGCAUGGUUAGGGCGAGCAACAAGGGUUCCUGUAGUGCAUAACCAUUUCAAGUCGCCCAAGUUCUAAAGAGAGAUCAGAAGUGCCAGCUACUGAAGCAAAAAAAAGGACCUGAUACACAUUGUAAUCAUGGACUGCUGAUAUACCUGAUGCAUUUCUUCAUGAUGGUCGAUUUCCUUUCACCGGAUCUUACAUGUUUAAUUAUGUGUGCUCGGAACCAAAAACUGAUUGAGAUCUUCAGUUCUUACUUGCAGAUGUUCUGUUAUUCAGAGUAAUUCAGUUUCCAGUCUCUGUUUAUUAAUCAAAUUAUGGGUUAUUUUCAACCAUAUAGGCUUUUAUUAUAUGUUCAGUUAUGCUUCCAUGGGUUUUGCAUAUGUAUUAACAAAACAACCAGACUGCUAUUCUGUAUAUACUUGGAUCAAAGGGUGUACAAUUAAUUUGCUCUUACGAAAGGAAUGAGUAGGCAGCUAGCAGAAUGGGAGGACAAUCAUGACAAGCGAAGGAACAAAUAAAUAGUAAUCCCACAAUUUUUACAACUGCAUUCCACUUUAAUUUGGUAUGGACAUGCAUUUUUAUCCUUGGAGUACUUUGGAUUUUAAGUGGGAAUCAUUGGUUCUUUUCUUCUUAAUAUUUUACUUCUUAUAAUUACAAAUACCAAUUUUAGAGAAUUGAGCUCGUACUUAAAAUUCAAUUGAGUAUGAAGCCACUGCCCAUUGUGUGAAAGAAACAAUUAUAACAUUGUACUCUAACAAAUCACACAUAUAGAGAAAUGUUAUUUUCGAGUCUCCUUAACCUACUGAUCUUUUUUUAGAUAUAUGAAACUUGCAUUUGUUUUCUUAAUUCUUCUGCAAUGCAGGUGAUAUUCCUAAUGGUUGCUGCUGACGCUAAAAAAAUUACUCCUGAAGCACUAGAAGUGCCCUCUCUAUGACGCAUCACUCACUGGAUCCAGAUGGGCAACAUUCCGCUUCAAGAUUAAAGAGUACCGUUUUUGCAUGCUAUCAUUGCUUAUCCAAGAGUAAUCUAGCAUGUGCCUAAUAUAUAUACAUGAUUGUUGCACCAUCACAAGAUUUCCAUUAUAUACAUGGGCAUAACUUUCUUUACUGUGAAUUAAUCGACACGAUGCUUCUGUUUUAAGGAAUGGCAAUGCUAAAUUCUACAGUGGUACUCUCUACUCUGUCGAAUGUUUACAAACACCAUAAAGCUAGAGAUCUAUUGUGGAAACUUUUCUUUCUUUUGUUUGUUAUAACUUCUUAGUGUAAAAAUAAAUAUGGCUUGUCCAUUACGAAACAAAUAUGUAAGAUUUAUUACUUUUCAAAGUUGAAUUGUUCCUGGCAAAUUACACAUGAGAGUGCAUACAAUUGAGUUGUGCUGACUUGCUGUUUCUAAAAUGAUAAGCUGGAGCUGGAGUUACAUAUGAGAGUAGAGAUAAUUAAGUUGUGCUCCUGACUUGAUUAACAAAAGCUGCAGAAGAAAGGGACAAAAUACCAAAGAGCUGAAAUUUUGAAGAAAGGUGGAAGUAGGGAACUACACAACUUGAUUCAAGGUUACGAAGGGAAAAAGGGCAUUGAUUGAGCAGGAGAAAACAAUAAUGGGCCGAGGCAAAGAUAUAGUGCUCAGUUAGUAAAGAGAUAUGUGGGAAGUUGAGCAGCGGGAUGCAAAUGGAAUUUUUGUGACUCACUGAAGGUGAGCAAAACUUCAGAAAAGAAAUUGCAACAGAAGUAGAGCCUCAUCACCAAGAGAACAUAGGGAUUUUAAGUUUUUUGUAGCCUGCACCGGAGACUGUAGAGUUAAGUUUCUACAUCUCAGUGUACAGUUUAACUAUAUCAGGUUAUUUCCUAUGUAGUAAAUAUUUGCUUUUGCCAUUGCUGAUCAUGUCCUUCUCUCUGUGCUUGGAAGCAUAAACUUACUUAGCGAUCCUUUUCUGUUAGGCUAAACUUACAUCCUUCUGCUAAUAGUUUAGUGAUCUAAUGAUUAUAAUGAUUAUUCAAAAGGGACGUUGCAUGUUCCUAGAUGCAUAGCCUUUCUUAUAUAUGUUUUCAUAACACUGGAUUUUUUUAGGGAUAACACUGGGAUUUAAGUUUUUUUGUUAAAUUCUGAAACUGAAAUCCGAAUAAAAAAUAUCUUGAAAGACCAGCAUAAUGGCACUUCAAAUAAAUGCUAAUCUACACUCACACUGCAGGCUGGUGCCCGUUCUUCUGGUGAUUUGGUCAAAGCUACUACUAAGCAAAGAUAUUUUGCAUGCUAUAAGAACAUGUAGGUUCAUAUCGGGGAGCCAUACGAUCCUGCUAAGAAUUUUGAAUCACUUUGAUAUAUUAACAACAACAUCGUUUAAAAUCCAAACAAAUGGCAUACUCCCUGUUAAUUCAAAUGCAGAUACAAACUUUAAGCUUUUCUAAAUAAGGAAAUAUAUUUACAGUCCAAGUGUAGUAAUCUGGGAGUUUGAAAUUAUUUCCCCUUUUUACAAAGCAAGGGACAUUGAAGUUAAUAUUCACAUACAUGGCAGGGAAGGAUUGAUCUCUCUGCUUAGCAAUGAAUUUGUAGCACCCCAUGAAAACAAAUAUUGUGCAGACCCUAUGGCGUCAUUGUGUUAGUAGGCCGUAUUGGCGUUGCAAUCUCCUCUUGGACUAACUAAUGCAUAGGUUAUAAAGCACAUCAAACCUUUUGUAGACCAACAAAUCCAACAUGCUAUGUAGAUCUUGUGUGUACGGAUUAAUCUGAUUGAUGACUGAUGGAAAGCUUCAGGACUUGUAUUCCCCCCUCACCCCAUAUCUGUAGUUUCCUAUGAUUCACUUUCAAAUCUGGAUAUUCUCUUAUAUAUUAACUACUGCAUUGGAGGAAAUUAAAUCACUUGCAAUCUACAAUUAAAGAAUAAUUAAGUGGGACCUUGAGAAACAAUAGUUUGCCAUGGUCUGCAAUGGGGCAGAGCCAAAGAGUUUGACCAGAAUAAAAGUCUGGACAACAAAAUUCAAUGGAGAGAGAUAUCCAUCUGUUACCCACAAAUGAUUAUUUUUUUGUUAGUGCCUCUUCUUCUUUCUUGCCCAUUAUUUAGUUAUAACGUGACAAAAUAAACAUGUUGAUUAUACCCGACUUGCACUGAACAUGAAAUUUUUGUUUAUGCACAAACAUGCGAGUUGUGUAGUACUGUAGGUUGACACUUCAUCGAAACAUAACACACAAUUACAUGUGCGUGUAUAAGGAGAAACUAUACCUGCAGCACACAUCCAUCUAUCUCGGUUUAUGGGAGAACUGGCAAAUUUAUGGUAAUGAAGCAUGUAGCUGAGGUGUGAGACAAAUCUUCCGUAGAGUGUUAAUGUUGUUAGUAGUAAUUAACUUGUCUCCUAGGAGCUAACUGCAGCAACUUACCUUGAUUGUUAGAUACAGUAUAGCAUUAUUCAUCUUCAUCCAUGAUUGAUUCUUCUGUUUGCUGCAAUUCUUUGACAAUUCUUAGCAUCACACAACCAAAGGUGAGAAGCAAAAAUUUGAAGCACGGAACAAAAAAUUCACAAACCAAUGCAUUUAGUAACCAUCGUGGUUCUUACAGGUCCUUUGCAAUCCAAAUUCCAGUUCUAUGACUUGCAAGGAAGGAUGAAGUCCAUGUCAUGAAAAUUUUAAUAUGUGGUCGCUGCCUCCUCCAGCCAUGGAUUUCAAAGGUACGCAGAUUCACCUACAACAUGCAUAUGGGAGAACUUGCAGAUCUGAAGGAAUCAAGUAUCUAGCUAAGGUGCUUGUAGCCACGAUCAGUGCUCCAUCGAGCAAUUUCUUAGGGCUGCACAGAUGCAACAACCUGGUAGAUAGGAUCAUCCUCUAUCAAAAAUAGCCAAAGGAAGAUGUCAGCAUCAGAGAUCCCAUAUAGGCCAGGAUAAUGUCAAAAUAUCUUGGCAUGGGCACGUGGCUCAUAGCCUGAACUUGAGACCGUUUACUCCAUGCUCGUGGUGGAGGCCUAGUCUCGACGGGGGCAUGGCAGUGGCGUGCGUUAGGAUUGGAUUCCGUCGAAGACCUAGGAUUGAUUUUCUAGCUGAGGCUGCGUGCGUGAGGGCUGGAGAGUCGGUUGUAGCCAUGGGAUUCUGGCGGCAGCAGCGUGCGUGAGGGCAGGGGAGUCUGCAGCCCUAUUAUGUUUUUCUUCUUUCAACGAUGGACUCAGGUAAUGGGAAAACUAAUCUAUGGCAUGGCCCUGUAUAUUUUGUCUUCUUUUCACGAUGGAGUCAAGGUUUCUAAAAAAAUUAUGGCAUUGCUGAAUCGUAGAGGCAGGUGAAAGCUAUUUUGACGCAGCAUAUGCUUUAGUAGGAGUUAUCUCUACCUCUCUAUCUCUACCUAAUCUCUACCUAAUAAUAAAGCAAAUUGGGUUUCUGCUUGUCCGUCAUUAGCAUUUUUGCUAAAAAGCCCCUCCCUUUUUUAGUAUUUAACCCGCAGUACAAUUUAAAGUCUGUUUCUUCUUGAGAUAAUGAUUCAUUUUUUGCAAAAAGGACCCGGGCACCACCACCACAACCCCGCCUUAUCCACUGCCGGUCUUCACAAACGGGCAGCGGCGCGCUUGCCAUGGCGUCCGCUCCGCCCGAGCCCAGUAAUGGGGCGAGGCGUCGCGGCGGCGUUCCUGCACGCCUUGUCGGCCUUGGAGCUAGCCUUGGCGGGGGCGGGCCGAGGCGUCGCGGCGGAGGACGAUAAGCAGACGGGCACGCGCCACCGGCGCGCUUGCCGUGGGCGUCCGCUUUGCCCGAGCCCAGUAGUGGGGCGAGGGGUCGCGCCGGCGUUCCUACACGCCUUGUCGACCUUGAAGCUGGCCUUGGCGGGCCGAGGCGUCGCGGCGGAGGACGACAAGGCGGCCGGCGUGCUCUGUUGGGGCGACGCGUCGCGGCGCUCUGGCUCCAGUAGAUGACGGCAGAGAGCCAGGUGUGGCUUUGUGUCGCCGGCCACCGUGCCAGGCUGGAAUAGCUGCUGCAGCCCCCCUUAUUUGAUACUUGCAUUUGUGGCAAGCACCUUGCUGUUCUGAGUAAUGGUUGAUAUCUUAUAUUUAGCCGAGAAGCUGAAAACUUACGAGUUGGAAAACCUUCUAGAUAUACCUAAAAAGACCUUGAAGAUAUCUUCUACUAGACUGGACGAGCUGAUUGACUGGCGAUGGAGAUGCAGCAGUGACCUGCAAUUCUUUCUGCUGUGGAUGGUUCAUUUUGAUAUCUUUUUUAUAUCUGACAAGACACAAGAAAACAACAUAUCUAUCCUGUUAUAUUUACCACUAUCAUCUACAGUGAGUGCUAAGUUGCCCAUAAAUUUUAGUUGACUUCUGUUCAGAGUGAUCUGAAAAAUAGAUAGCAAAAAAGAUUAGUGGGUAUUACAUUUAGAUUAGCUACAUUUGGGCAAAUAAAUGAGUAGAAGUCAAUUUUGUUUGCUUGAUGUUUCACUUCUUUGAUCUCUUCAUCAUUCUCAUUUUGUUUCAUUGCUUACCAUUUGUUCGAAAUUUUUUCUAGCAGUGGCAAGCAUGGUUAGGGCGAGCAACGAGGGUUCCUAUAGUGCAUAACCAUUUCGAGUCGCCCAAGUUCUAAAGAGAGAUCAGAAGUGCCAGCUACUGAAGCAAAAAAAAGGACCUGAUACACAUUGUAAUCAAUGACUGCUGAUAUACCUGAUGCAUUUCUUCAUGAUGGUCGAUUUCCUUUCACCGGAUCUUACAUGUUUAAUUAUGUGUGCUCGGAACCAAAAACUGAUUGAGAUCUUCAGUUCUUACUUGCAGAUGUUCUUUUAUUCAGAGUAAUUCAGUUUCCAGUCUCUAUGUAUUAAUCAAAUUAUGGGUUAUUUUCAACCAUAUAGACUUUUAUUAUAUGUUCAGUUAUGCUUCCAUGGGUUUUGCAUAUGUAUUAACAAAACAACCAGACUGCUAUUACGUAUAUAGUUGGAUCAAAGGGUGUACAAUUAAUUUGCUCUGACGAAAGGAAUG